GACGAACCGAGCGAACGUUGUUCGGAAUCACUGGGCUUAAAGGGCGCGUAGGCGGGCCGCCGCGUCCGGGGUGAAAUCCUCCCGCUCAACGGGAGAACGGCCUCGGAUACGGGCGGUCUGGAGGGGGGUAGGGGCGUGCGGAACUGUGGGUGGAGCGGUGAAAUGCGUUGAUAUCCACAGGAACUCCGGUGGCGAAGGCGGCACGCUGGACCCCACCUGACGCUGAGGCGCGAAAGCCAGGGGAGCGAACAGG
rnacentral:rRNA from 1 species